GACAGAGGAUGCAAGCGUUAUCCGGAAUGAUUGGGCGUAAAGCGUCUGUAGGUGGCUUUUCAAGUCCGCCGUCAAAUCCCAGGGCUCAACCCUGGACAGGCGGUGGAAACUACCAAGCUGGAGUACGGUAGGGGCAGAUGGAAUUCCGGGUGUAGCGGUGGAAUGCGUAGAGAUCCGGAAGAACACCGGUGGCGAAGGCGGUCUGCUGGGGUCGAACUGACGCUGAGACGCGAAAGCGUGGGGAGCGAACAGG
rnacentral:rRNA from 1 species